AGUUCUCUUUUCUGCAUUUGAUGAAUCAAUGAAUCAAUUGCACUAUUGUGAUGCUUGUUUGGUUGAUGAUAGGCUCGGUUGGAAUCUCUGGGAAUUUUGAAUAAAGUUUCACAGCUUCGACAACAAGCCUCUGCUGCUCAAACCAAGAAACCUCCUCGCCCCUAUCGCAAAAGGGUCUACGGUCUCACCCCUUUGCGCCGCUCCCAGCGAAUCAACGCCACAACUACCCGCCGUCGUUCCCCUCGCCACCGUUCUGCCGCCUAGUUCCUGAGGUUGGCUAGGGUUUGGAGAACCCAAAGGUUUAGGUUUGGCUGAUCCAUGUCCUAUUGGGCUUGUGUUUUGGGCCUCUUUCCUUUGGUGUGUCUUGCAAGUAGUUUUGCUGAAAUCUCACUUAGUUCUAACGUUGUUUAGAUGUCCUAAGUAGUCAUGGACUUAAAUGUUAUUGAACUAUCUUGUAAGUUGUUUUGGGCUAAGGCCCAAUUUCUAUCAUUCGAUGUAGAACAUCUGUUGUAAAUGCCUUCAGACAACUCUUUUUUGAAUGAAUUACGAACCUUUGAUAAAAAAAAACCUCAUUUUUAUGAAGAUGUAGCUUCACUACUAUUAGACAUGUUGGUUAUUUUACACUUUUAUAUUCACACAUGAAUUGUAAUGUACAAUAUUUUACACUUUCAUUUAAAGAAAAAAACAAAAUAAAAAUUGACUGGGUAAAGGCACAAUGUAUGAACUUCCAAGGUAGUAGUCACUACAAAGUACAAACGUUGACAACACAGAACACAGUGACUGUGGUGUGAGUUUUGAGAAGAGAAGAAGAAAGAAAAUGGGGAGGGUGAUUGAGAGACCCAAAUCUGAGUACGAAUCUCUCAGAAAUGCUCGCAUGUUAGAGAACCAGGUGAGUUCUCUUUUCUGCAUUUGAUGAAUCAAUGAAUCAAUUGCACUAUUGUGAUGCUUGUUUGGUUGAUGAUAGGCUCGGUUGGAAUCUCUGGGAAUUUUGAAUAAAGUUUCACAGCUUCGACAACAAGCCUCUGCUGCUCAAACCAAGAAACCUCCUCGCCCCUAUCGCAAAAGGGUCUACGGUCUCACCCCUUUGCGCCGCUCCCAGCGAAUCAACGCCACAACUACUGCCGCCACCAGCCCAGCUGCUGCUAAAGCCGUUUUACAGCGACGCUCUCAGCGUUUGACGAGGAGUUCAAU
rnacentral:lncRNA from 1 species